GUUGAAACACCGGCUCCCGCACGAUCACAGAAAUUAAGCAACAUCAAUCCUGAUCAGUACUUAGAUGGGUGACCGCUUCGGAAUACCAGGCGUUGUAA